UAAUGCUCUAAAUGAAUCAUGGCUGCUUUUUUGUUUUAACUAAUCAAGAGAGCAUCAGUUAUCCACAUUAUAAGCCCUUAAAUAAUCUAUUUUCUUCUCUUUGGAUAAUCAUGAGAGCGCUAUGUUACAACAAUUUGUAACUCACACAACUAGCAAACGAUAACAUCUUAUUGUCAUAUUGAUAGUUGUGCUGGUACCUUUAUGAAGCUUGCUUUAGGGUAAAUUACAUCCAAUUCCUUGAGGUUUUCCUUUCGAGUAUAGAGGACAUGGACCACCCUCAA
rnacentral:misc_RNA from 1 species